rnacentral:lncRNA from 1 species
AAAACUAUUGGUACAAUAAUAUUUCAAAAUAUAAUGAUUAAGUCUUCUAGUACGUGACAUCACAUUGUUUUAUAAGAUAAUAUAUACAAUCAUAACACACACACACACACACACACACACACACACACACACACACACACACACACACACACAUAUAUAUAUAUAUAUAUAUAUAUAUAUAUAUAUAUAUAUAUAUAUUGUAUCAGUACUUAUAAGGAUCUACAUCACCAAAACAUAUGUACUAAUUACAUGUAAACACCAAUUUUCCCUAACUUCAAUAAUUUGACUGUCACGAUAUUGUUGACAUCUGUAACUAGAAAAAUCCUGCAAGAAAGAAAAAUAAUAUGUAAUUAGUUAAUUAAAUUUUACUACAAUUUAAUUAUGACAAUAAAACAACUUACAUCAGUUGGAAUUAGGGAUGGCAACGGGUCGGGUUCGGGUCGGAUAGUGUGAUACCCGAACCCGACCCACCGGAUAAAACUGUACCCGAAACCCGACCCGCUACCCGCCGGAUAUCCGCCUAAAAAAAAUCCGCGGAUAUUUUAAAACCCGCGGAUACCCACAAAUAUUUAAAAAAAUAUAUUUUUAUAAAUUAUUAAAAUAAAAUUUAAAUAGAAUUAGAAAAAAAUAUAUAAAAUACAAUAUAAAUUAAAUGAAAUAUAAAUUAAAAUUUAAUUUUUGUUUAGGUUGAAUUGGUUCGAUGGUCAGUCGUCUUUCUGUACUUUGUUCUCUUUUGAUCUUUGAUCCUUCUUGAGAAUGUCAUCCACUCCGAUGGGUUGUUGACGUGCAGAAGACACUCUGACACUAAAAAAUAUAUAUUUAUAAAGCUUAUGCCAGACAAGCCCAUUGAUUAACCAUUAGUGUAGUAUAUUUUUAAGCAAUCAAAUCCAAUAAUAAAUAAUUAAUAUCAUAUAAUAAAUAAUUAAUAUCGUAUAUUUUGUAAAAAGUAAGACAAUCUGACCUAUAUAUUAGUGCAGUAUAUUUUUAGGCAAUCAAAUCCAAUAAUAAAUAAUUAAUAUCAUAUAAUAAAUAAUUAAUAUCGUAUAUUUUGUAAAAAGUAAGACAAUCUGACCUAUUAAGUAGUGCAGUAUAUUUUUAGGUAAUCAAACCCAAUAAUCAAUAAUCAAUACCGUAUAUUUUGUAAAAAGUAAUCCAAUAUAACCUAUUAAUACUUGUUAAUUGUCAAUAAAUGACAAUUAAUUUUGAUCGGUAUAUUUCAUAUAGUACAAUUUUAAUUAAAUUUUACCUUGUAAAAUAUAAAUUAAUGUUAAUUUUAAUUAUAUUUAAUUUAAUAAAAUAAAAAUUAAAUUUUUAUUUUUAUUUUUUGCGGGUAGCGGAUAUCCGUGGGUACGGAUAGUAUAAUACCCGCACCCGACCUGUUUAUAAGCGGGUAUUAAAAUAUCCGCUAUCCGCGGGUUUCAGAUAGUAAAUAUUCGCGGGUAUUAACUAUCCGUCGCGGAUUUUUGAAUUGACUAAGUAGAUUAAUUGCAAAGCAUAAAUCAGGCCUAGUGUUGGUAAGGUAUAGUAACUUCCCUAUCAGCUUUCUAUAAGGACCUGGAUCAUCAAGAUAGCUGUCGGAUUUAUAUAGAGGGCUGGUAUCACUUAAAAAGGGAGUAGAAGAAGGCUUACAGCCUAACAUUCCUGUUUCCUCAAGUAUGUCCAAAGCAUACUUUCUUUGACAUAGAUGAAUACCCUUUUUAGAUCUGGCCACCUCCAUACCUAGGAAGUAUUUGAGUUCUCCAAGGUCCUUAAUACGGAAUUUGUUGUGUAGAAGUUCCUUUAUGCCAUUGAUUUCCAUCAUAGAGUUACCGGUUAAUACAAUGUCAUCCACAUAUAUAAGUAAAGCAGUAAAGCUUGUAGGUUUUUUUCUAAUGAAUAGUGAGUGAUCAGACUGUGAUUGGACAUAGUUGGCAGAUAUUAAGAAGGAAGACAGUUUUUCAAACCAUUGCCUACUGGCUUGUUUUAGUCCAUACAAAGAUUUGGUUAACCUGCAAACUUGUCCCUUAUUGUGGGUGUUUAGACCUGGAGGUAACUCCAUGUAAACUUCUUCAUUUAGAUCUCCAUGUAAGAAAGCAUUGUCAACAUCUAGUUGCUGUAGAAACCAAUUAUUUGAAGCUGCCAGAGCAAUCAGUAGUCUAACUGUGGUAAGUUUAGCUACAGGGGAAAAUGUGUCAAGAUAGUCUAUUCCCUCCUGUUGUGUGUACCUUUUAGCCACUAAUCGAGCUUUGAAUCUUUCAAUGCUGCCAUCAGCUUUGUAUUUUGUCUUGUAUACCCAUUUGCAUCCUAUAGCAGCCUUUCCUGGAGGGAGGUGAGUCAAGAACCAGGAUUUAUUAUCUUGCAGGGCUUUUAUUUCUCUCUNCAUGGCCUCUACCCAUUCCUUCAUGUCCUUGGCCUCAUUAUAGGAUCUAGGUUCUUUAUUUCCAGUAACAGCCAGGGUGUACCUCAAAUGUUUUUCUGAAAGAUUAUCACAGCAUAACAAAUUAUAGAUCGGAUGUGGAGUUUUGAGACUGUUUCUCAUAGUCAGAGAUUGAUUGACUUGUUGGACAUAAUCUUUUAGAUAUCCUGGACUCUUUCUUGGUCUUUCAGACCUUUUGUAUCUUUGAUUUUCUUGAUUGCUUCUCAUACUGUCAUUGUUGCCUUCACUAUUAGUGGUUUGCUGCAGUUGUUCUUGGUCAGCAUUAUUUGGCUCAGUAUGUACAUCGUUGUUGAUAGGAUAGUGAUCUUCUAGGAGAUCAUUGAGAGAAUCAGCUUUGUCUUCUUCACUGUCAUAGCCUUCUCUGCUGCCCUGCAGUUUUCUAUAAGGAAAAACAUCUUCAUGGAAGACAACAUUUCUGCUUAUAAAAAGUUCCUUGGUGUUUAUGUCAAGCACAAUGUAACCUUUCACACCAUUCUUAUAUCCUAGAAAGAUUCCCUUUCUAGCUCUUGGGUCAAGUUUACUUCUAUUAUUUUCAAGAGUUGAAGCAAAACACAAGCAGCCAAAGGUUUUAAUAUCUAAAUAGGUGGGUGGUAGGUUGUAGAGCAGAUCAUACGGUGUUUUGUUUUUAAGAAUAGGAGUGGGCAGCCUAUUUAUUAGAUAAACAGCAUGUCCAAUGGCAUAAGACCAGUAAGAAUCAGGGACGUUAGAUUGAAAAAGAAGGGCCCGGGUAACACUUAGUAUAUGUUGAUGUUUUCUUUCAACAACUGAAUUUUGUUCAGGAGUUUCAACACAACUUCUUUGAUGGUUAAUCCCAUGUAAAUCAUAGAAAUCCACACAAUUAAAUUCAGGACCAUUAUCAGAUCUAAUGGUUUUGACAGUUUUGUUAAACUGGUUUUUAAUUUUGGCAACAAAAUUCUGCAGUAAAACUCUAGUUUGACCUUUAUUACUCAUUAGAAAUACCCAUGUGUGUCUACUGUAAUCAUCAACUAUGGUGAGGAAGUACCUAUGACGAUGAACAGAGAUAGUGUUUAGGGGGCCCCAAAUAUCACAAUGAAGAAUUUCAAAACAUUCAGUAGUAAUAGAAGCACUUUUGGAGAAAGGCAAUUUCCGCUGUUUAGCAUAAUGGCAGAUGUCACAUACAAAAUCAGUGUCAAUUUUAACAUAGGGAAAAUUAUCACUAAUCUGUUUUACAACCUUAUCUCCUGGGUGGCCUAAUCUAUAGUGCCACAGACUAACAUCUACAUUCUUACAAGAAAAAGUAGACUUUAAAGUGUAUCUUUGAUCAGGUUUAGAAAAAGCUUGCAAGUAAUAGAGUCCUUCCCGAGAAUUAGCACAUCCAAUCAUCUUCAAUGUAUGGUUCUCCCUUAUCUGGCAAGUCUUAGAGGAAAAAGUUAGGUUACAGUCCAAGUCUUUAAUAAGACUUUGAACAUAAAUUAGAUUAAAUCAGAAAUCAGGAAUAUAGAGCACAUUGAAAAUGAUAAAGUCCUUUGAAAACUGCAUUGUUCCUGCGUGCUCUGCUGUGAGAGUAGUAUUAUUUGGCAGUUUGAUGGAAACAGGUCUGAUUUUAUGAAAAGUAACAAAAUUUCUUUUAUCAUGUGUCACAUGAUCUGUGGCACCUGUGUCAAUUAUCCAAGAAAGAUUACCUUGUCUAUUUUCAGUUUCAUUCCUUUGAACUUGAUUGAUUUUGUGAGAGGAUUCAUCAGCUCUAUCUAUCAUUCUGAGAAGUUUUUCCAUUUGUUCAGCUGUGAAUGAAUUAAAAACACUGUUAUUACCAGUCUGUUGUGUGUUCUGAGUACCUUCUGGUUCGGUACUGUUCUGACAAAUAUUCACAAAACUCCAGUCACUCCUUUUUUCUUGGUUGUUGUCUCCUUUCUUGUACCAUGGUGGAUAUCCGUGCUUAGAAUAGCACUCGUCUAUGGUGUGAUUCAUUUUGUUACAAUAUGAACAUUGUUUGCCAUAGUUAGGAUUUCUUCCCCUUCCUCUUCCUUGACCACGGGUUCCAGAACCUCUUCCUUGGUUUCCCUGGUUUCUCCAUUGGUUGUUUCUGUCAGUCAUACUGGCUAGAGCUUUGAUAUCAGCAACACCUUGCUUUUCUUGUCUUUCUUGUUGCAUAAUAAGAGAGAAGACCCUAUUGAUAUUAGGAAGAGGAUCCAUGAGGAGAAUUUGUGUUCUGACUGUGCUGUAAGAAUCAUUCAGACCUUUUAAGAAACAUAUUACAUGUUCCAUUUCUCUGUACUUCAAGAAUACCCUUGAAAGAUCACAGCUACAUGGGACCUGGCAUGUGCAGGUUGGUAUGGGUCUUAGGGACUCUAACUCUUCCCACAGAAUCUUCAGAUCUGUGAAGAACUGGCUCACUCCCCUUUCUCCUUGUUUGAUAGAAUGUAUAUCUUGAAGUAGGUCUGAAAUCUUGAAAUAAUCACCUUUAGAGAACCUUUCUUUCAGUUCAUCCCAUAAAUCCUUAGCUUCUUCAACAUAUAUGACGCUUUCAGCAAUGUGUGGUGAAAGAGCCUUUGUUAUCCAAGAUAAAAUCAUCAUGUUGCACCUUUCCCAUGCUUCAAACAGUGUAUCAAUUUUCUGGGGUUUCUUUAUGAACCCAUCAACAAACUUUAUUUUAUUCUUGGAAAGCAAGGUUCUCCUCAUACUUCUGCUCCAAGAAGAGUAGUUGUUUUCAUUCAGAACCUGUGUAACGAGCAUAAGUCCUGGGUUUUCUCCUGGGUGUAGAUAAUAAGGACUGGAUGGGUUGCAAGAUUGAUCCAUUUGUUCCAUUAAAGAAGAGCAAGAAACAGUCCAAGAAGAUAUCAAGAUUAACUAUGAAGGCAGCGGAAGCAGAGCAGGUACUAGACCUGCUCUGAUACCAUAUUAAUAAAAGCCCAAUACUGUGCUCUGGGGUAUUCAGCCCAAUGACCCAUGGCCCGUAGGAAAUGAUAGAUUGGGCAGAGUCAGAAGCUUUCCUUUCAGUUCAGAAAAACUUUACCGAGAGUGAGGAGAGAGAAGAGAGCUCCUGGGAUGAGAAAGCCGAUGGUGAAGACGGAGGACGUCCGACAAUCCUAGAGGCAGUGGACGACUCCGACCAAGAAGACAAAAAUGAAGAGGAUGAAGAGAAGAGUAAGAAAAACUAUAUCUUUCCCUGUAUCUGUGAAAUCUCAUUUUAUUUCAAUGAUUUUGUGUUUCUGUUACAAUCAAAAGAAAGGGAGAGCUCUAUAUAUAUAGAGCUCUGUGGGGAAGGGGAAACAAAGAUAAAAUAGGAAAACAGAAAAACAAACUGUCAUUAAGACAGUAACCAAGUAGCCGAAUCUAAGAUUCUUAACAUUUUUUUCUCAUAAAACAUGUAACUUAGUUAUUUGUAUUAAUUUAUAUUUGUAUAUCCUAUUUUUAAUAAUUAUAUAUCAUAUUUGUUUAUUAUUAUUUUUAUUUUUAUUAAAAAUUAUUAUACUGCUAAAGUUUAUAAAGGGAUAGAUUUUGACUAAGGUUUUUCUUAUAAUUUUUUUUAAUGUAAUUAAUGCAAUUAAAUUUUAUUUAAGUUAAGAAUUUAAAUAAAUUUUUCAAACUUAUUCUGAAAUAGUUUUAAGAUAAAAAAGAAAAAAAAAAAAAAAAAACCAUGCAGUUUCCGUAUGUUUGCUAUGCCAAGUAGAAUUGUAAUUUAUUUUGGUUACUAUGGUACGGUUUACUAUUUGGAACAGUUAACUUAGGAAAGUUCAAUUUUUUUAAAUUGAACCGCAUAUAUAGAUAUAGUUUAUGCCCGGCCCUAAUGAUAUUAGUAAUUUACAGAACAAUUAUCAAGUGAUGUGAAUUCACGCGCAAACUACUUUUACAACUUUACCGAAGAGAAAGAAAAGAACAAAAGUAUCAGCAAGCAUAUAGAUCAUUUUAAUUAAAUUCUAGAGAAGCAGAUAUACAGAUGGAGCCCAAAUAUUAUCUAUGAAGUUGAGCAACUCCUACUCAUAUACAUGGUCUAAGGUGGUCUCCAUAUUCGUCUCUCCUCUGUUUUGUGUCUCAGCCCUUGGAUGCAAUAUUACAUGUGAAAAGCUUAUAAGGAUUCUAAGGAAAAAAGAAUACUAAUAAUCAUUUCAACCCAUAUUCUAUGGAACUUAAAUGUUAUACCAACCUUCAAGAUGUGCUGACAAAGAACAAAAUCAUCUGGGGAGAAGGAUGUAGGUAAAAGAUUAUGACAAAUAAAUCAAUACCACUUGAACAGUAAAUAAAUGAUGAAAGAGGAGGAGGCAUUAUUCAUGGAUGAGAAUAACCCGCUCAUAAUUCUACAGAUGGAUCAUAUGAAGUAGCCAACCCUUAUAUGUAGAAUAUAAAGUAGAAAAAAGAGGAUCACAAUGGAAGUUUCCCUCUAGUUUAUUGAUUCAAUAAAAAGAUUGUGUCUCUUAUUGUUCGUCUUGAUUACUUUAAUAAAGCUAAGGACUUCAAUUGAGAGUUGUUUAAACAAGUGCAACUACCUAUGGAAUAACAUAAAGUGACAUAAGUCAUGAGUAGUUAAUAGUAUUAACCAAUUACAACUCCAACAGACUUAACCAAACACCAAGCUAAAUGUACCAAAAAUAAGAAUAGCAGCAUUCAUUUUGAUAAUCAAGAGCAGAAGUACAACAAUAAAAACAUGCAAUCAGUCCCCAAGCCUCUACGAUAUCUAACCUUAAAGAUUAAGCUAAAGAAGUCUAAGGCAUAAAAUGAAAGAGUAGUAACUUAUUGUGAUAACUGAGGGCAUUAAAUCUUAACCAUCCAAUCUUAUGUUAAUGAUGAACAUCACAUGACGAUUUAGAAGUGUCAUACAACUUAAACUUCAUACAGACAAUGUGCUCUGACUUGAUAAAAGUCAUACCACAUAAACUGUUCUGUAAAGAUUUUUAUAUUAUUAACCAAUUAGAAGUCAUCCUAAAUAUGACUUUUAAAGUGAGAGGUUAAGUUUCAUACAAUCAGUUACCCUACAAACAAAUCGUAGAUCAUUCAAGGAAUGACUUUCAAAAAAAAUAUUUACCCAACAAACUAUAUGUCAAUAUGUGAUUAGAUGGAUAAUAUAAAAUUCUUGACACCAUCAGUACAUUCAAAUUAAAUUCUUUAAAUUAUUAUAAAAGAAGUCUAUAGUUUUAUGAUUAAUAUAAAGUUAGUGCAUUCUAAUUAACUUCUAAUUCUAAAGAUAAUUUCAACUACUAUGUAUAUGAAUCUAAUAACUGAACAGUAGUCCGAGUAAGUAAGUGAGGAAAAUCAUGAACCUUCAACAAAAACCAUCACAAAAAGCAUCAUUAAUUUUACACUAUCCUUCUAUGCUCAUUUAUACUCAACAACCAUCAUGAAAAAAAACAAAGGCAACAAAACCCGAAUCUGUAGAUGUCAAAGCAAGUUUAAAAUAAUUAAUAAAUAGAGGAAACUAGAACUGAUAGGCAAAAAUACAGGAGAGAACAACAAUAAGAUUCAACUGUGUGGUUAAAGGAUGCAUUGCAGAGAUAUCCUCCAACAGUUUCAGACAAACAAUAAAGAUAACUAAUUGUACAAUGUAUAACAUGUUAACGGCUACGAUGUAUACUAUGAAAUUUUCUCAGCCAAAAUCACUGCUAUAUAGAAAAUUAAUUUGGAAAAUGCACAAGUUUCUGACUAAUUUACCAAAUACGAUAAACUAUUCUCAACCUAUCAACAAUAAAAGCAAAUUAGAGUCAUGAAUAUGAACAAUGACAAAGAUACAGAUUAAGAUCAUUAAAGUAUCCUAAUAAAAGCUAAAACUAUAAUUAAUUUUUAUUUCAAGACUAUAUUAACAAAAAGUGACUUGCGGCAAGUUAAGAGUAACAGGCUAAACACAUUCAUCUAUCAAGCUAAUCCUAAGGGCCUGUCUUAGAUGAAAGGAAUAAUUGCUCUUGUUAAUAUAAUAGUGUAGUGAAAUAAAAUUGAUUUUGAGAAUUACCCAUGCAAAACUCUAAUUUUCUGAACGCCAUUUGUCAGCCCAUCUGUAGCAGUGAUUGUCCUCUCACCUUCCAUAGUUUGUUGCUGAGAUAACUCAAAUAGCUUACCCCGAUUCCUAUUGGACCGCAAUUAUCUCUCCAAUUGCUUCUCCAAAUCUUUAUAGUCUCUCCCUCUAUUAAUAAAUCACAUGAACACAGUUCUGCAAACAAACAAACAAUUUAGGGAAACAAUAUUUAAAUCUUCAACAAAAAAAACCCACUACAUACAUAUCACCAUGUUAGUAGAUUUACCACGGGGAUCAUAUUCCAAAAACCUCAUAUUCCAAAACAAAACCCUAAGAUUCAAUGUCGAACAAGAUCAUAAUUGAGAAAACACAACUCGAAGUUGGGAAAUGGAAUGUGACCGUUAAAGGUUUUACUCACCGUGACGAGACUCAUAAUCCAACAAAGAUAGGAAACGGAGGAAGUGGUCGAAAUGGUACGCAUUUGCAGAUCCAAGUGCGAAGGAAAGCGAAGUAAGAUCUACAAAUGUACGUCAACCACCAAAAUUGAAGAAUGGGAGAAGGAAAAGAGAAAAGAGAGAUUUAAAUGGGAGCACACAUUUUAAAAAAUUGGUUAGCUUGAUGUCGUAGCUUAUCUUCAUAACCGUGGUCAUUAUCUGCCUUUCAUGAAAGCAUUGUGCUAGGGAGAAAGAAGAAGAACGUGGAAGAGUGAACCAUGAAGGGAGGCAACGGCCGCGAUGCAAUGUGGAAAGGUUAACAGAGAAGAGAGUGAAAAGAACCUAGAGGAAAACGCAAGAAGCUGGAGGAAAAAAAAGAGCAACAGACUCAAAACCUUUUUCAUAAUUUUUUUAAAC